GGAAAGGCCAUAGCUCAGUGUUAGAGCAUCUGCUUUGCUUGCAGAGGGUCCCAAGUUCAAUCCCUGGCCUCUCCA